UACAGAGGGGGCAAGCGUUGUUCGGAAUUACUGGGCGUAAAGGGCGCGUAGGCGGCCCGCUAAGUCGAACGUGAAAUCCCCAGGCUCAACCUGGGAACUGCGUCCGAUACUGGCAGGCUUGAAUCCGGGAGAGGGAUGUGGAAUUCCAGGUGUAGCGGUGAAAUGCGUAGAUAUCUGGAGGAACACCGGUGGCGAAGGCGGCAUCCUGGACCGGUAUUGACGCUGAGGAGCGAAAGCAUGGGGAGCGAACAGG
rnacentral:rRNA from 1 species